GUUAACUCAUUUUUCUUUCAGCUCCUCCUAGCAGAGGCAGCCAGAAGGCAGCUCUUCAGGAAGCAAAGCCGGAGUCUGACACCUUCUUCUUUGUCUGCUGAUAUCAAAGAGUGAAAGAGUAUGGAUUUUAACUAGAGUGCCUGAUGUUCUCUGUAUGGAAGCUGACUGCCUCCUUGGUUGUAUUGUGGCCCUGAACCUCUCAGUAAAAUCCUGACAAGAUACCGAGGGAGAUGCUGGGAAAUCUUCACGUGCUUUUCAUUGGCGAAAGAUCUCUGCUGCAAUGCUUUGCUUCAUUUUUUGAGCAGCUUAGCAGGGCUAUGAAGGGAAGAAAGAAAA
rnacentral:lncRNA from 1 species